GUGUUCAUUGCCAGAGCACCUGAGUUUUUUGCUUGCCCCAUAUUAUUUUCCCUUUUAUAUUGCAUUUCCACCUCUCACAUUAAUUGUUCCAAGAGACUCUGAUUGAUUGCCACCAUCUCUCUGCAGCGCAGCUCUGUUUGAGAGCAGGUACUGAGUGUGUUCAUCAGCCCUGCCAGCUCUGCCUUCAAAUUCAGGGCUCACUGCUGGCUCUUUAGAAUGCAUGUACAUCCACACUGAUAUACUCACAUUACCAUGUCUUGUCUCUCUUUUCUGCUUUGUUUCUCCAGGUGUUGCCUUCUGCCCCAUGUCACCCCUUCCCUUCAAGACAACAGAGAUGUCAGUGUCAAAGAAGGGGGAGCACAUAACGAGUGCUGCUCUGUCAUGGAGAAGCAAAGAAGGCCACUGUUCCUACAUUGUACACUUUUUCUUUGACAAGUUAUCAGAUUUUCUUGAUGUCAUGACUUGUUCCCUGCAAUGGAGAUGUCUACUGGCUGCUUAAUGAGGUUUUGAAUUACAGUCUCUGCAUCUGAAACAAAGGGUGAAACUGAGGCAAAUAUGGAAAAGAAGGAAAUGAAUCCAUUGUGUCUGACAUAGCUUCCCAGGAUCAAAUGUCCCCCUGCAUGAACCUUUGCAUGUAUUUAUGAAAUGGUAUUUUUCUUUGACAUAGCACAAAUAAACUCAGCAGCUCAGUUAUUAC